rnacentral:rRNA from 1 species
UACGAAGGGGCGAGCGUUGUUCGGAAUCACUGGGCGUAAAGGGCGCGUAGGCGGCCCUCUUAGUCGCGUGUGAAAGCCCCGGGCUCAACCUGGGAACGGCGCGCGAAACGGGAGGGCUGGAGUCCGGGAGAGGUGAGUGGAACUGCGAAGUGUAGAGGUGAAAUUCGUAGAUAUUCGCAAGAACACCAGUGGCGAAGGCGGCUCACUGGCCCGGUACUGACGCUGAGGCACGAAAGCGUGGGGAGCAA